GAUGAACGCUAGCUACAGGCUUAACACAUGCAAGUCGAGGGGCAGCAUGGUCUUAGCUUGCUAAGGCCGAUGGCGACCGGCGCACGGGUGAGUAACGCGUAUGCAACUUACCUAUCAGAGGGGGAUAGCCCGGCGAAAGUCGGAUUAAUACCCCAUAAAACAGGGGUCCCGCAUGGGAAUAUUUGUUAAAGAUUCAUCGCUGAUAGAUAGGCAUGCGUUCCAUUAGGCAGUUGGUGGGGUAACGGCCCACCAAACCGACGAUGGAUAGGGGUUCUGAGAGGAAGGUCCCCCCACAUUGGUACUGAGACACGGGACCAAACUCCUACGGGAGGCAGCAGUGAGGAAUAUUGGUCAAUGGCCGAGAGGCUGAACCAGCCAAGUCGCGUGAAGGAAGAAGGAUCUAUGGUUUGUAAACUUCUUUUAUAGGGGAAUAAAGUGGAGGACGUGUCCUUUUUGUAUGUACCCUAUGAAUAAGCAUCGGCUAACUCCGUG
rnacentral:rRNA from 1 species